rnacentral:rRNA from 1 species
UACAGGUGUUGCAUGGCUGUCGUCAGGCUCGUGUCGUGAGAUGUUCGGUUAAGUCCGCUAACGAGCGCAACCCUCGUCGUAUGUUAUAUGUGUCAUACGAGACUGCCGGUAAAAGCCGGAGGAAGGUGAGGAUGAUGUCAAGUCAGCAUGACCUUUAUAUCCAGGGCUACACACACGCUACAAUGGUCUGUACAAUGGGUAGCCAAGCCGCGAGGCGGAGCCAAUCCUGAAAGCAGGCCUACAGUUCAGAUUGCAGUCUGCAACUCGACUGCAUGAAGCCGGAGUUGCUAGUAACCGCAGGUCAGCAAUACUGCGGUGAAUACGUUCCCGGGUCUU